GUGCCUGUAGCUCAACCGGAUAGAGCGCCAGUCUUCGGAACUGGACGUUGCUGGUUCGAAUCCAGCCAGGCACA
rnacentral:tRNA from 1 species